UCUCCUCCUAUGGCCUGCGCCCUCCUUCCCUCUCUGGCCACCGCACGACAAGGCGGACGAACUCGGGGCUCUCCUCCCCAUCUGAGGCGGCUAGCGACGCAGCCGCUUGAACGACGUCCUGGGCGUCCCGAAGAACCAGGAUUUUUUUUUAGCGCAAUCGAUUCUGUUUCCAUAGUUUCAUUGGUUUUUUAAGUUCAUUCCGAUUACUUUUUUUCAGAUCUUCCUAUGUGAGUGUGGUGUUACCGACCUCCGGACAUCUUCUGCGUCGCUCCCCAGAUCUUUCCAUCGAUGAUUUCGCGGAGCUGCCAGAGGCCAUUAGGACAGCCAUCGUCGCCGGCGCUAUCUUCAGAGCGGAUGAACUCUCUCUAGAGCCGAGGGGUGGCAGUUGAGAGAAGAUGGAGCCGUGGGGGCUAGGAAGGUGGAAGUCUGGGAGAAGAUUGCGUCGAAUCCGCUGGGCCGCCGGAGGAGUUGAGGAGGGAGGACGGGAGGUGGAAGUGCGGAUAGGGAAUUUGGGGAGAAGAAGCCACGGAGGCGGACUGCAUCGAGGCGGGCUGUGUGCCGCUGCUCGAUGCCUAGAAAUCAAUUCGGCUGCGUUCAGGUAUUCCUCUAGCUACCUUUCCUUUCCUAUAACCACAAAUCAUGCAAUCGCUGCCUACCAUUGCUCCAAUACUUGAUGAAUUGGCUCGGCGGGUGGCCCUCCAGCCUUCCUCCUCAAGCUCAUGUCCCUCUCUGGUGGAAUCAGGGUCUCGGGGACGGCACAACUUGCAUACAGAUACAGUCCAACACAGUCGUCCACCCCUUAGGGAUCUACUCCACUGAAAUAACUUUAGUAAAUGAAGUGCUUCUACUGGCUGAGAACUUCUCUAUGUUUGUAACUACAGAGUGAGCGAAUCAAAUGGAUCAAAAUAUUAUGUUUCCAGAUCUCCGGUUUGGUUCAUGUAGUCAUUGAUGCUAGGCCUCCUCCCAGGGCAGCUAAAUAGGAAAAACGACUCAUUUACAUGACUUACGUGAGAAAAACAACCAUCGUUACUCCUCAUGGUGUGUGCGCCAGUGUGCUUGAUGUUGUUGGCCUACAGUCGAUCUAUUGAAUUACUUCAAAAUAACCUUAGUAUUCAUUUGACAAUCUUAAAAUUGCAUUGCCGUUGUUAAUUAGCUUUCAACAGAAAGAUCAUCGACCUAUAACUUAGACUCACUCUCUCAUCUAUGCAUGUAAAUUGUGUGUUCUUUUUUUUUUAAUCUGCCUACAACUGCACUCGCCAUGUGAUGUCAGGUCCUUUUCCCUGUCUGAUGCAAUUGAAUUGUGCAUCUUCUGAGUAGUCUUACUAGACUGCUUGCCACGCAUGAUAGAUGACGAGUAGGAGAUAUGUUUGAUAUGUCCAUUGAUUCCUGCAAUCAGGAUCAAAUCAAAUCUUCAUAGCAUGCAGGCGAAUAAAUAUCUUGAAUGCAUGGCCCUCUGUUUUGUUUUCGCAUAUAUGUAUCAGCGUGUAUUUGAGUGCCCAAUUGUAUGCAUCAGGGAACAUCAAGGAAAGUUGUUCCUUGCUUACCGAACUGCCAUGUUUUCCCUUUGAGGUAGCCAUAUUUUCAGGAAAUAAAUUAGCAAUCUGUAAGGAUAAAUCUUAAAAUCAUGUGAAAACAUAAGCCAUCUAUAUGGUUAGUUCAUAAUGUUAUCUCGGUUUAUGGUGAAUAAAUAUUAAGUAUGUAUUUCAGUAUUUGAUGUCGCGGCUUUAAGCAAUUUAAUUUGGGUCAGGGAAAGGCUAUCUGCUAGCAGCAAUAUUCCAGGCUUCUAUGUCAUAGUUGCAGUAGCUUAGUUGAUGUACAUUUUCGAAUGUAAUAGACUAAUGCUGAGUCAAUACAUCUGUAAGAAUAAAAUACAUAUGAAAAACAGGCGAUGGUUGACCAUUGUACAUGUUUGUCAUAUAUAGUCAUACCUUCUCUUGAAUUACUGGCAUUUUCUUUUUGUUAGUCAAAUGAUGAGAUUUUUUUUUUGCCUUGCUCCAUUAAUUCUUUGAAUGAGAACCCUUGCAUGGUGAAAACGUCUGUCGGCUGUGGGAACGAAUCUUAGUCUUUUGUGCCCAUACUGCAAAGGUGUAGUCUACUACUCAUAUCUUGAUGAUUUUGCUCACUUCUUGGAAAAUCUUCUGUGCUACGCUUUUUAAUUAGUGUCAUUUCGGCUUCAGAUGCUAUGUUGAUACUUCUGAAUUCUGCAGGCAAAAUGGCUUCCAUUCAAGCUAGCUUUUCGAAGAAGCUUCUCAGAAGGUCUUUGGAUGGGGGAGGUUAACUUCAUCAUUCUUUCCCUUCAGUAGUUUUCACAAGCAGGACAAUUUUCGAUAAAAGUGAACAGGCUGAUUUCUUGACAAACAGAUGAAGCCCAGGCUACUAACGACGUGUUGUAAUACUAGAUACCUCUUAAGCAGCUAUGUGUAAUUAUCUCAGUUGUACUGUCCUACUACUGUAGUGCCCCGGCUGGUGAAAUGAACCACCAAAUUGAA